UCGUCACACUAUCAUUAACUGAAUCCAUAGGUUAAUGAGGCGAACCGGGGGAACUGAAACAUCUAAGUACCCCGAGGAAAAGAAAUCAACCGAGAUUCCCCCAGUAGCGGCGAGCGAACGGGGAGGAGCCCAGAGCCUGAAUCAGCAUGUGUGUUAGUGGAAGCGUCUGGAAAGGCGCGCGAUACAGGGUGACAGCCCCGUACACAAAAGCGCAUGUGCUGUGAGCUCGAUGAGUAGGGCGGGACACGUGGUAUCCUGUCUGAAUAUGGGGGGACCAUCCUCCAAGGCUAAAUACUCCUGACUGACCGAUAGUGAACCAGUACCGUGAGGGAAAGGCGAAAAGAACCCCGGCGAGGGGAGUGAAAAAGAACCUGAAACCGUGU
rnacentral:rRNA from 1 species